rnacentral:rRNA from 1 species
AUUGAACGCUGGCGGCAUGCUUUACACAUGCAAGUCGAACGGUAACAGGCCGCAAGGUGCUGACGAGUGGCGCACGGGUGAGUAAUGCAUCGGAACGUGCCCAGUCGUGGGGGAUAACUACUCGAAAGAGUAGCUAAUACCCCAUACGAUCUAUGGAUGAAAGCGGGGGACCGUAAGGCCUCGCGCGAUUGGAGCGGCCGAUGUCAGAUUAGGUAGUUGGUGGGGUAAAGGCUCACCAAGCCAACGAUCUGUAGCUGGUCUGAGAGGACAACCAGCCACACUGGGACUGAGACACGGCCCAGACUCCUACGGGAGGCAGCAGUGGGGAAUUUUGGACAAUGGGCGCAAGCCUGAUCCAGCAAUGCCGCGUGCAGGAAGAAGGCCUUCGGGUUGUAAACUGCUUUUGUACGGAACGAAACGGCUCUGGUUAAUACCCGGGGCUAAUGACGGUACCGUAAGAAUAAGCACCGGCUAACUACGUG